AUUGAACGCUGGCGGCAGGCCUAACACAUGCAAGUCGAAUGGUAACAGGAAACAGCUUGCUGUUUCGCUGACGAGUGGCGGACGGGUGAGUAAUGUCUGGGAAACUGCCUGAUGGAGGGGGAUAACUACUGGAAACGGUAGCUAAUACCGCAUAACGUCGCAAGACCAAAGAGGGGGACCUUCGGGCCUCUUGCCAUCAGAUGUGCCCAGAUGGGAUUAGCUAGUAGGUGGGGUAACGGCUCACCUAGGCGACGAUCCCUAGCUGGUCUGAGAGGAUGACCAGCCACACUGGAACUGAGACACGGUCCAGACUCCUACGGGAGGCAGCAGUGGGGAAUAUUGCACAAUGGGCGCAAGCCUGAUGCAGCCAUGCCGCGUGUAUGAAGAAGGUCUUCGGGUUGUAAAGUACUUUCAGCGGGGAGGAAGGGAGUAAAGUUAAUACCUUUGCUCAUUGACGUUACCCGCAGAAGAAGCACCGGCUAACUCCGUG
rnacentral:rRNA from 1 species